rnacentral:rRNA from 1 species
UACGUAGGGUCCGAGCGUUGUCCGGAAUUAUUGGGCGUAAAGAGCGCGCAGGCGGUCGAUCAAGUCGAGUGUGAAAGCCCCCGGCUCAACUGGGGAGGGUCAUUCGAUACUGAUCGACUCGAAGGCAGGAGAGGGUAGUGGAAUUCCCGGUGUAGUGGUGAAAUGCGUAGAUAUCGGGAGGAACACCAGUGGCGAAGGCGACUACCUGGCCUGUUCUUGACGCUGAGGCGCGAAAGCUAGGGGAGCAAACGGG